rnacentral:rRNA from 1 species
GACGAACGCUGGCGGCGUGCUUAACACAUGCAAGUCGAACGGUGAAGCGCCGUCCUUUUUGGUUGGUGUGGAGGAGAGGCGGACGGGUAAGUAACACGUGAGUAACCUGCCCCCUUCUUCUGGAUAACCGCAUGAAAGUGUGGCUAAUACAGGAUAUUCUGGUUCUGUGGCAGGGUGGGUCUGGGAAAGCUGUUGUUUCGGUGGGGGCUGGUCUCGCGGCCGAUCAGCUGGUUGGUGGGGUGAUGGCCUACCAAGGCUGGGACGGGUGGCCGGCCUGAGUGGGAGUGCGACACGGCCGAGACUCCGACGGGGGGCAGCAGCGGAGAGGAUGGAGCAGUGGGGGAAAGUCUGAUGCAGCGACGACGCGUGAGGGAUGGCGGCCUGCGGGUGGUGAACCUCUUUCGGUAGUGAAGCAGGUCUGCCUCGUUUGUGGGUGGGUUGACGGUAGCUGGAUAAGAAGCGCCGGCUAACUACGUG